rnacentral:rRNA from 1 species
GACGGAGGAUGCAAGUGUUAUCCGGAAUCACUGGGCGUAAAGCGUCUGUAGGUGGUUUAAUAAGUCAACUGUUAAAUCUCGAGGCCCAACCUCGAAAUCGCAGUCGAAACUAUUAGACUAGAGUAUAGUAGGGGUAAAGGGAAUUUCCAGUGGAGCGGUGAAAUGCGUAGAGAUUGGAAAGAACACCUAUGGCGAAGGCACUUUACUGGGCUAUUACUAACACUCAGAGACGAAAGCUAGGGUAGCAAAUGGG